GGAAGUUAAGUGAGAAACUCCGCAGCUUGAACUGAUUUGGGGGAGAGAGAGAGAGAGAAAGGAAAAGGGGUAGGGGGAGGGAGAGAGGCAAGCAAAAUAGCCGAACCGAGCCAAUGGUUUUCCUGCAAAGUGCCGGGAAGUUUGCGGAACACUUUCUAGGAAUCAGGUCCUCUCUCAGAGCCUCUCCUUGUCCUCGGAAGAAAGAGCUGGCGUUUGGAUUGCCAUGGAUCCUAAAGAGGGGCUUAGACACACGUGAAUAAUUCCCCUGCUCGGGCUGGAUUGGGGGGAGUUUAGGAAGGAGCGUGUGUGCAAAGCAGAAGCCUUCGGAGCUCGCUCCCUGCUCUAAUCUGUAUGGAUCUAAAAGUGGCACACUCAAGACCUUUCCAUCUGCAGCUUUUCGCUUCCAGGCUUCCCUUUCCGCUCUAAGUAGCUGCUAGGAAACUGAAAACUUUUGGACCCUGCGUCUCGCUGGCUUUGGAUACUUUUUUUUUUCUUUCUUUUUUUUUUUUUUUUUCCUUUUCUUCUUUUCUUUGGAUCUCUGUGGAAUUGGUCUCGCAAACGAUCGGGAUUGCUUUUAAUAUGUCAAAAUGGGUCUGCUGACGCCACUCCUGCUCGUUGGAUUUGCAUUUUUUCAAGUCUAUGGUACAUAUCUGUGGCCUUCUGCAGAUCUCAGUUGCCCAUCAGAGAACAUGGCUUACAUACAAAGCUGGAGUAUAUUCUUCUGGUGUGUAUUUGAGCUGACAGGGUCUUGAUCUCUCAUGUUGAGUUUUGCUGUUGAUGGAUAACCUUUGCUUCUGUGGAAUGUGUGCAUUUUAAUACCUUAAGAGUAAAAGUCUGUUGAGAUGGAGAUUUUAUGUUUCUGUUUCCUUUAUCUUCUUCCCUAGGACCCAGUUUUGCAGAGCAUUUAGGUGCGUGCUGCUGUUGCUUACACAGAACCUCAGUGAAGUUGAUGGGAAUUUAAACAUGUGUUCCAAGUUAAUCAUAUGCUUGAAAACUUUGCUGAGUAGGGAGGAAUUUAUGCCCAUGAUGAAAAGUUCUGCUGAAUUAGUCUUAAUGUUGUGCUUGCCUUACUUCCUUUCUCCUAGGUUGUAAUUGCAACAGCAUAUAUUUAUGUGCAAAAGAUAGGCAAAGAGAAAAUGCUGUCAUAGCACUUCCAGAGAUGGAUAUGUUUGAAAGGUAAUUUGAUAGUCCAAGUAAUUUGUUUUGUUCAUUUGCUAAUUUGGUACACUGCAAAAGGUUUGAUAUCCCACAGUUCUUUUAGAAAAGACAGAAUAUCUUUUGUUGUUGUUGUUGUUUGUUUGUUUUUAAAUAAAAAUUAAACUUUUCAGUGAAUUCAACUUAGUACAAUAGUCCUUCCAUUAGUAGCUUUCUGGAAUGCUGAGGUUGAUGUUGCUUGUGGAAAACAUGUUGCAAAGUGAGCUAAUUAUAGCAAUGUGAGACAAAGGUAUACAGUCUUAAAAGUAGACAAAAGGAUGUCAGUAUAUUUUAAGGACGCAUAAAAAGCAUCAAGCGCAUGCACUAAAAAAUUCAUUGAGAGAAAAUGGAAGCAUUGGCUAGUCUGUCCGGUCAACUCCUUUUCCAGGAGUUGCCUUUUUAUAGCAAUGCUAUGUAGAGUCAUUGCACUAACCUCAAAACCUGCUCUGUCCACUGCUGAACCAUUUAGUGAAAAUUACUAAAGAGUAUGCAAUGGCUUUUUAGCCAUUUGCUACCCUUGAAUUGCUAUUCAAAUAUUGAUCUCAGCUAAAUAGAUUGCUAACAGGUUCUGUACAUUCUGUUUCAGCCACCUAGGAGGAACACUGCUGUCAGGCUU
rnacentral:lncRNA from 1 species